CAUGAACGCUAGCGGCAGGCUUAACACAUGCAAGUCGAGGGGUAUAUCACUUCGGUGAUAGAGACCGGCGCACGGGUGCGUAACGCGUAUGCAAUCUACCUUUUACAGGGGAAUAGCCCAGAGAAAUUUGGAUUAAUGCCCCAUAGUAUAUUUGAAUGGCAUCAUUUGAUUAUUAAAGUCACAACGGUAAAAGAUGAGCAUGCGUCCCAUUAGUUAGUUGGUAAGGUAACGGCUUACCAAGACGAUGAUGGGUAGGGGUCCUGAGAGGGAGAUCCCCCACACUGGUACUGAGACACGGACCAGACUCCUACGGGAGGCAGCAGUGAGGAAUAUUGGUCAAUGGGCGCAAGCCUGAACCAGCCAUGCCGCGUGCAGGAUGACGGUCCUAUGGAUUGUAAACUGCUUUUAUACGGGAAGAAACACCGAUUCGUGAAUCGGCUUGACGGUACCGUAAGAAUAAGGAUCGGCUAACUCCGUGCCAGCAGCCGCGGUAACAC
rnacentral:rRNA from 1 species